CAAUGCCCUCCGUUUUUUCUGGGGAUACAAACACCCCACCCCGCCCACGAACCCUGUGAAGAGACCCAGGCUCACAGAGGCGCCAUCGGUGGCCGCGUCACACAUCAAGCGGGUGCAGUGCCAGGACUCGAACCCAGGUCUGCCUGACUCCAAAGUCUGUGUUGCUCUGCCUGGCGGCAGAGGCCGAGGCUGGAGGCCAGGCGGCCGGGGAAGCCCGGAGCAGCCCAGGAACCGGGGCGCCGCUCUUCAGCUUUGCUCCGCGGCCUCUCCCCGUCCUCCUCCGCACCCCUGCCUGCCUCCGUGGCCGUUGGGUCUCACGGCCUGGGCCACAGGGCACUUGGAGGGGGAGAUGGCGGUUAGUGGCUCACUGGUGUCAGAGCCAGAGCUCCCGGGUUCCAGUCCUGACUCCUGCUGUCCAGUUGUGUGACUUGAGCAAGUCACUGCCCCCUUUGUGAGCCUUGUCUUUGUGAAAAGGGACCAGGAAUGGAUCUCUGCCUCGUGUGCAGGGAGGUUGUGAGGUCAGGCACGGGAACAAGUUCACAGGAUGCUGUAACUGGGGCCGCUGCCCGGGCGGGAUAUAAAGUCGUGCCUGAGGCCACGAGGGUGCUGUGUGCCACACUAGCUGAUUGGUCUGGUCUCACCCGGGGUGGGAAGGCAGGUGGGUCAGAUUUAGAAGAUUCUGAAAGCUCUGAGAUGGACUGGGAUACUUCGUGGUCAUAUCAAGUGCUUUGUGCCUCAUUUUUGUUUUCAUGCAGUUUUCACAAGAGCUCUGCAGAGGAGGUGAUGUUGGUCCCAUUUUAUAGAUGCGGAAACUGAGGCUCAGAGAGAUGAAGUUUGCCUCAGGUCACACAGGCGGGAAGGGCCAGGACCAGGGUAUGAGGCCGGGCCUAACUCAACACACCCGUGCUCUUUCUGCUUCACAGAAGCUCCUUCAUGCCAAUACCAGCCUGAUGGUUGGCGAACACUGGGCCGGGGCCCGGAGAAGGGAAGGAACUUGUCAGAGGCCACACUGAAGGGCCGGGGCCAGACUCAGGUCCAGGCUUUUCUUCUUCUUCAGAGAGCAGGGCCGAAGGGCAGCUGCCCAUGCACUUAGCAAACCUCGAUCGGUCUAGAGCCUUCGGCCGCCCGUCCUGGUGUGGAGGAGGCAAUGUGGGGCCAUCGGGCAGAGGCAUCGAGGCUGGCCUGAGACAUAGACCAGAAGAGGGCCAGAAGAGAAAGAGAGAGAGAGGGAGCGAUGAACAGAGGGAGGGAGGGCGAGAAUCCCAAGCAGGCUCUGCACUGUCAGCAGAGCGGGGCUGGGAGCCCAUGAACUCGGAGAUCAUGACCUGAGCCAAAAUCAAGAGUCGGAUGGUUAAUGGACAGAGCCACCCAAGUGCCCCAGGAUUAUCUUUCUUAUUAUCCAAGUGGAGAUUUCCAGGGCUGGUCAGGUAUGCGCAUCUGGGCGGGAACUUGGCUCUGGUAGUGAAGCCACAGGUUGUGGGUGGGCACCCUAAGACGGGGUGGCGGGUACAGGUGCCACCCAUCAUCUCCACUCCCUCUUUCCUCGUUCCCUGAAGGCCCCAUGUUGUUCAGAGACCUGCCCUCCACACAGCCUGUGCCCUUCAGGGCAGCUGACCUGACUCCAGCUCCAGAGCGGGAUCUGGUGAGACUCCGCCAGUCGGGUCAUGGCACUCCCCCAGGUUCCGGUGCUCAGCGAGGCUGAAAAGCUGACCUGGUUCCGUGGUCGGGGGAGCGAGAUUCUCCCCCUCUCCGUCUUCAGGACAUACACCAAGAAGCACGUGGCCCCACUGCCACCCCUUAGGGAACCAGACCUAGCAGGAAGCCUGUCUGUGCUGGUAUCCCACCUUUCCAACUGAAAAAAAA